rfam:Alligator mississippiensis ScZkoYb_5, whole genome shotgun sequence.
CCAAAGGCUCUUUUUAGAGCCCCUCCAACUUCACUGAAAAGAGCUGG